rnacentral:tRNA from 1 species
UCUCUCGUAACUUAGUGGUCAGAGCAAUGGUGCGUAAAGCCAAAGGUCCCGGGCUCGAUUCCCGGCGGGAGUG